AGUGAACGCUGGCGGUAGGCCUAACACAUGCAAGUCGAACGGCAGCACAGGAGAGCUUGCUCUCUGGGUGGCGAGUGGCGGACGGGUGAGGAAUACAUCGGAAUCUACUCUGUCGUGGGGGAUAACGUAGGGAAACUUACGCUAAUACCGCAUACGACCUACGGGUGAAAGCAGGGGACCUUCGGGCCUUGCGCGAUUGAAUGAGCCGAUGUCGGAUUAGCUAGUUGGCGGGGUAAAGGCCCACCAAGGCGACGAUCCGUAGCUGGUCUGAGAGGAUGAUCAGCCACACUGGAACUGAGACACGGUCCAGACUACUACGGGAGGCAGCAGUGGGGAAUAUUGGACAAUGGGCGCAAGCCUGAUCCAGCCAUACCGCGUGGGUGAAGAAGACCUUCGGGUUGUAAAGCCCUUUUGUUGGGAAAGAAAUCCAGCUGGCUAAUACCCGGUUGGGAUGACGGUACCCAAAGAAUAAGCACCGGCUAACUUCGUGCCAGCCGCCGCAGUAA
rnacentral:rRNA from 1 species